UACGUAGGGGGCGAGCGUUGUCCGGAAUCAUUGGGCGUAAAGCGCGUGUAGGCGGUCCGAUCAGUUCGCUGUGAAAGUCGGGGGCUUAACCCUCGGAUGCCGGUGAAUACUGUCGGGCUUGAGUACGGAAGAGGCGAGUGGAAUUCCUGGUGUAGCGGUGAAAUGCGCAGAUAUCAGGAGGAACACCAAUUGCGAAGGCAGCUCGCUGGGACGUUACUGACGCUGAGACGCGAAAGCGUGGGGAGCAAACAGG
rnacentral:rRNA from 1 species